rnacentral:rRNA from 1 species
UCUGCUCCUGCUCCCGCUCCCGCCGCAACCACCCCGUCUCCCUUCUCAUUCAGCUUCGACUUCUCCAACGCAUCCACCUACCACAUAGAAGACCUGAAAUUCGAGGGGGAUGCGACCGUUCAUGGCGACCUGGUUGACCUCACCUGUAACACUUACAAGAUGAACCCCACUUUCUGUAUGGGACGGGUGUCGUACCGGCACCCGGUGCCGUUCUAUGACAACGUCACCGGCGAGGUGGCCAGCUUCCAGGCGCGGUUCACCUUCGUGAUCCAUAUCGACGACGAUACUAAGAACAACAAGGGGGACGGCAUGACUUUCUUUCUUGCCUCUUACCCGUCAACUAUGCCGCCAAACUCAGGCGGGGGUAACCUCGGCAUGAUGCCCUUAGGCAACGGCAAGAGCCCAACCGCCUUCGGGAAUGACCGGUUCAUCGCGGUGGAAUUCGACACCUACGACAACUACUGGGACCCCAACACCACCUACGACCACAUUGGCAUCGACAUCAGCUCUGUCAUGGACUCGGUGAACACGACAAUACUGGAUAGCUUCAGCCUCAAUGGCACCAUGACGGCCACGGUCACCUUCGACAACACCACCCGGAUGCUGGUAGCAGACCUGCAGUUUGAUGACCAGAGUAACAAUCUCCCGGUUCGGGUCACCACGCAAUUACCCGAUCCAGUCACCUUGCUCCCGCCUCAGGUGGCCAUUGGGUUUUCUGGAGCCACAGGCGCCAGCUUGGAGCUGCAUCAGAUACUAUCAUGGUCCUUCAACUCCUCGCUUGCUCCGCCCCACAAAGAUCAUGACAUGAAGGCUGCAAUUAUUGGAGGGUCGCUUGGAGGAGCUGUAGCAUUGGUGGUUAUGGUGUGGUGUAUCAUUGCAUGUUUCAAGUGGACAUGGAGCACAAGCCAUGACCUUGUAGCACAAACUGGAGGACCCAGACGGUUCGACUACCGUGAUCUGGCUUCUGCAACAGACAACUUCUCUAAGCAAAGGGUUAUUGGGAGAGGUGCCUUUGGAGAAGUCUACAGGGGUACAUCGUUGAACUCAAAAGAAUCAUAUGGUGGCGAGGUGGCUGUAAAGAAGAUCUUGAACAAGAUAAGGGGAGGAAAUCAGGACUUCUUCACUGAGAUGAACACCAUUAGCGAAGCGAAGCAUAGGAAUCUCGUCAAGAGUUUUGAAUUUCAUGUGCUGAAAUCACAAAACGAAAUCCAAAAUCUUGGCUGGUGUUGCAUGAAGAAAAAGGAUGAAGAGCUCUUCCUUGUCUAUGAGCUGGUGCCUAACGGCAAUCUGCACCACCACCUACAUGAGACAGAGCAGCCAAUACAGUGGCCAACAAGGUACCAAAUCAUCAAAGACAUUGGCUCUGCCCUUGUUUACCUCCACCAUGACUGCGCCCCACCCAUUCUGCACAGAGACAUCAAACCAGGCAACAUCCUCUUAGACAACAACUUCAACGCCAAGCUUGCCGACUUCGGGCUGUCAAGGAUCGGCAACCAAGACAACGUGACGCUAAUGACGACUGCUGUUGGGACAGAAGGGUACAUAGAUCCAGAGUGCAGGAAAGCGGGGAAAGUCAAGUUCAACCUUAGCUCAGACGUCUUCAGCUUCGGGAUCGUCCUCUUGGACAUCACGUGCACGGGAAAGUCCAGGGAGCAGGUCUGGGAUCUGUAUGUAAGAGGCAGGGUGAUGGAAGCUACAGAUGACAGGCUACAUGGUUGUGGCGACUCGGACAUGAGGCAGAUGGAGCGUGUGGCUAUCCUAGGGCUCUGGUGUUCUCUUCCUGACAGUAGGAAGAGGCCUACCAGUAAGGAAGCAAUGGAGGUCCUCGAACGUGGUGUGUCGUUGCCUGACCUUAACCACCUGUUGAACACUACUUCGGUGCCCUCCUCAAUGCAACAAGAUACCUACACUACUAGUAGCUCGGGCCCACAAGCACCGACGUCAGAUGAAAGCCCAUUUGGUGAGCGGCAUGCAUGA